CCUACGGGAGGCAGCAGUGGGGAAUAUUGCACAAUGGGGGAAACCCUGAUGCAGCAACGCCGCGUGAGUGAAGAAGUAUUUCGGUAUGUAAAGCUCUAUCAGCAGGGAAGAAAAUGACGGUACCUGACCAAGAAGCCCCGGCUAACUACGUGCCAGCAGCCGCGGUAAUACGUAGGGGGCGAGCGUUAUCCGGAUUUACUGGGUGUAAAGGGAGCGUAGACGGUUCUGCAAGUCUGAAGUGAAAGCCCGGGGCUUAACCUCGGAACGGCUUUGGAAACUGUGGAACUGGAGUGCUGGAGAGGCAAGCGGAAUUCCUGGUGUAGCGGUGAAAUGCGUAGAUAUUAGGAGGAACACCAGUGGCGAAGGCGGCUUGCUGGACAGAAACUGACGUUGAGGCUCGAAAGCGUGGGGAGCAAACAGGAUUAGAUACCCCAGUAGUC
rnacentral:rRNA from 1 species